AUGGCUUCCAGAAACCCUCCGCUAGUCACUCAUGUUGAUCCCGACGCCCCUCCUGGGAGAAAAGCACCAGACAUUGGCAACAGAUCUACGAUGGGAACUUCCUGUGUUGAUGACACAGACCUGGAAGAUGUUAAGGCCUCAAAAGAUAGAGAUAUGCCUUCACACUUACUCAUGCUCCCAAACAUUCAGAAUCAGUCCCUUCUGUCUGGUUUUGCUUACUGCAUAGCAUCCUGCAGCAUGAUUUUAGUUAACAAGUUUGUGCUGUCUGGCUAUGGUUUCAACGCUGGAAUAUUCCUGAUGAUUUACCAGAACAUUGUAUCAGUGACCAUAGUUUCUGCACUGUCCCUCUCUGGUGUUAUCCCAACUGAACCAUUAACAUGGAAGUUAAUCAAAGUUUGGUUGCCUGUGAACAUUAUAUUUGUCGGGAUGCUAAUCACAAGCAUGUUUAGUUUGAAGUACAUCAAUGUUGCGAUGUUGACUAUCUUGAAGAAUGUGGCAAAUGUUCUUACUGCUUCUGGGGAAACCUACUUCUUUAAGAAGCAACACGAUCGACAAGUUUGGAUUUCUCUUAUGUUGAUGAUAAUCUCAGCAAUUGCAGGAGGAAUAACGGAUCUCUCAUUUCAUGCAGUCGGCUAUACAUGGCAGAUCUUAAAUUGUUUUCUGACAGCAUCGUAUUCGCUUACACUGCGGCAUGUAAUGGACAGUGCGAAGCAGGCCACCAAGUCUGGGAAUUUGAAUGAGCUUUCGAUGGUUUUGCUGAACAACGUUCUUUCACUACCAUUGGGAAUUAUCCUCGUGCUUGGUUUUAAUGAAGUUGAGUACCUGUUGGAAACGCCUCUUCUGAGGAUGCCUAUGUUUUGGCUAGUCAUCACUGCAAGCGGAGUUUUGGGGCUUGCUAUCAGCUUUACUUCCAUGUGGUUUCUUCGUCAGACAAGCGCAACAACUUAUAGCCUUGUGGGGUCUCUCAACAAGAUCCCGCUCUCUAUCGCCGGGAUCCUGCUCUUCAAAGUCCGCACAAGCAUGGAGAACUCCAUAAGUAUACUGCUUGGUCUAUUAGCAGGGGUGUUUUUCGCCAGGGCGAAAUUGCGCAACAACUCCCAGUCCUAA
rnacentral:rRNA from 1 species